AAAGCUUUAAGUUAAAUAAACUAUUAACCUUCAAAGUUAAAAAUAUAUAUUAAAUAUAAGCUUUA
rnacentral:tRNA from 1 species